GAGGGUAUAGCUCAGUGGUAGAGUGUUUAACUACAGAUCAAGUCAUCCUUGGUUCAAACCCAAGUGCCCUCU